UACGGGGGGGGCAAGCGUUGUUCGGAUUUAUUGGGCGUAAAGGGUCCGUAGGCGGUCCGGAAAGUCAGAUGUGAAAUCCUACAGCUCAACUGUAGAACUGCAUUUGAAACUUCCGGACUAGAGUGUGAGAGGGGUAAAGGGAAUUCCCGGUGUAAGGGUGAAAUCUGCAGAGAUCGGGAGGAACACCAGUCGCGAAAGCGCUUUACUGGCUCAUUACUGACGCUCAGGGACGAAAGCUAGGGGAGCAAACGGG
rnacentral:rRNA from 1 species